AGACACUACUGAGGAAGAUGGCUCUCAUACUCCAGGGCUGUUUUCCAAUUACUGCACAGCCUUUCUUCAUGGCCAGGUUUAGGGGUGGACGCUGCGGAGGAGAGUUCUGCUUUUCUCUCUCUGUGUCCGUGUAAGGCCUUCACCCGUUGGACGCCUGGGUCGAUGCAGGAGGACGACGCUGUGAUGCAGAUGUUGUAUCAUGCGACGGGUAGUAUGGUGUCUGGUGUGUGUACGUGUGUGUGUGGGGAUGUGUGUGUCCGUUUGUCCGCAUGUGUGUCCUUGUACGUUGUAAACGUCUGCAUAUUUCCAUAUCUCCAUAUCGCAGCUUGUGUGCCAACUUAUCUUUUUGACAAUGACAAACUCCUAUCUGCUAACUCGCAGCCAUAAAUCCUGAUUUCAGAUAUCCUCCAUUGUUCCACUGACAUAGGAAGUAGGGCUGCUCGACAUACAGUACAUCCACCUUAACAUUAUACUCCCUCUCUCUCUUUCUCUUUCUCUCUCUCUCGCCCUCUCUCUCCACGCUAGAAACAGAUGGCUGGGGACGAUCUUCCAAUGUGGUAGAAAACCAACUAAUUGCUUUGAGGCUUCUGAUCUGCCCUGGUUUCCGUGGCGCCAGGUUCACACAUCUCCAUGCCUCCUGUGCAGUUGAUUGGGUCGGGCCCACAGCUGGGG